GGAUGUGAAAGAUUAGGAUAUGUAAUCUUAAAAACUUCAAAAUGUAGAGUUAAGAAAUUGCUUUGGUUUGGUUUUGUCAAAAUUUUCAUUUACAGAGUCGAACCAAAACAAAUAAAUUGAUUUUUAAAAAAAUUUAAAACCAAACCAAAUUAUUUAAUAAACUGAACCAAAUUUCUAAAUCAGUUUGAUUUGGUCAGUCAUUUCAGCUUAAACCAAAUUCUGCUUACCACUGAUCUGUAUGCAGCAAAAUUAUAACAUGAAUUGCCAAUGGUUGAAACUUUACCAACCUUAGCAAUUGUUCCAUGGCUUCUGCUUAUUGAUUUCUCUGGAGUGAUGUAGCUGCAGCUUUUCAUGUUAAAUGUAAAAUCUUGAAGAAAUGCAAAUGUGAUUGGUUAUUAUGAAUUCCAUGUAGGACCUCU
rnacentral:misc_RNA from 1 species